rnacentral:lncRNA from 1 species
AGCAUCAGACCUAAAGGGAGUGUCCUGCCUGAAGGACCGGCUCAAGGUCGCACUAACAGCUCUUGCUAACUCCUGUUCCAGGCUGUUUAUCUGGGCCUCCAAGUACCCUGCUUGCGCCUGGAGGUCUCUCACCCCCAGGUCCUGCUCAAAGCUGUGCACUUGGGCCCCCAGGCAUGCGGCUUGCUCCGGAAGGUCCCUUACCUGUGGCACUGAGCAUGUACUUCCUGCAGUGCAGUUAGAAAUGCCCAUCCGACUCUGCUUGCAAAGGCACAGCUGCUUAAAGACUGUUACCGGAAAGGAAUCCUGAUCCAGACGCCAAGAGAGGGUUCUUGGACUCAUGCAAGAAAGACUUCAGCUGGCUGCAGAUGACAGUGACACCCUGGGAGUUGAGAAAUGCUUGUAAGAUGGAAGGAGGCUGUGUCCCUGAAUGAUCACCUGGAAGAGAGCCACCUUAGCCAAUGAAACUCCUGCUAUGAAUGUUUGCUGAGCAAGAAAUAUACUUACUGCUUUAUAUGCCUUUGAAGCUAUAGGUUCAUAUUGUUACCACAAUUUAAAGUGCUAUAAUAAAAAGAGUUCAGGAAGCAGGCACAUGGAAGCAAUAAGAGCAACAAACAUUUACACAGUUCUCAGGUCCCUGGACCAUGAAGGGCCACAUCCAAGGAGCUACCCCAGGAGGCCUCUCAUUUGCAUUUGUCCCCGCUAAUGCAGGACAGAGAUCAUGGAAGUUGGGCCCGACUGGAUGAGAUUUGGGGGUCUUUGGAAGUGGAGAAUGUGUUUGCCCUGGGGAAGAGGUGAGUAUGUUCACAGGACAGUUGUG